GAUGAACGCUGGCGGCGUGCCUAAUACAUGCAAGUCGAGCGAACAGACGAGGAGCUUGCUCCUCUGACGUUAGCGGCGGACGGGUGAGUAACACGUGGAUAACCUACCUAUAAGACUGGGAUAACUUCGGGAAACCGGAGCUAAUACCGGAUAACAUGUUGAACCGCAUGGUUCAACAGUGAAAGACGGUCUUGCUGUCACUUAUAGAUGGAUCCGCGCCGCAUUAGCUAGUUGGUAAGGUAACGGCUUACCAAGGCAACGAUGCGUAGCCGACCUGAGAGGGUGAUCGGCCACACUGGAACUGAGACACGGUCCAGACUCCUACGGGAGGCAGCAGUAGGGAAUCUUCCGCAAUGGGCGAAAGCCUGACGGAGCAACGCCGCGUGAGUGAAGAAGGUCUUCGGAUCGUAAAACUCUGUUAUUAGGGAAGAACAAAUGAGUAAGUAACUAUGCACGUCUUGACGGUACCUAAUCAGAAAGCCACGGCUAACUACGUG
rnacentral:rRNA from 1 species